rnacentral:rRNA from 1 species
AAAUAGAUACCCUGGUAGUCCACGCCGUAAACGAUGAGUGCUAAGUGUUAGGGGGUUUCCGCCCCUUAGUGCUGCAGCUAACGCAUUAAGCACUCCGCCUGGGGAGUACGGUCGCAAGACUGAAACUCAAAGGAAUUGACGGGGGCCCGCACAAGCGGUGGAGCAUGUGGUUUAAUUCGAAGCAACGCGAAGAACCUUACCAGGUCUUGACAUCCCAUUGACCGCUAUGGAGACAUAGCUUUCCUUUCGGGGACAGUGGUGACAGGUGGUGCAUGGUUGUCGUCAGCUCGUGUCGUGAGAUGUUGGGUUAAGUCCCGCAACGAGCGCAACCCUUGUUCUUAGUUGCCAUCAUUUAGUUGGGCACUCUAAGGAGACUGCCGGUGACAAACCGGAGGAAGGUGGGGAUGACGUCAAAUCAUCAUGCCCCUUAUGACCUGGGCUACACACGUGCUACAAUGGACGGUACAAACGGUUGCCAACCCGCGAGGGGGAGCUAAUCCGAUAAAACCGUUCUCAGUUCGGAUUGUAGGCUGCAACUCGCCUAC